AUGAGCCCUAUUUAUCCUAUGAUUUUUAUUUCUCAAUUUUUAAUAGGUUUGGAUAAUGAAGGUGGCACUAGAAAACAUUUCUUUGCAAGAAGGUUUAACUGGCGGAAUAAAUGGAAAGAUGUCAGCAAAAAAAGGAGCAGCUGGGGCUGGCCCCGUGGCGGAGUGGUUAAGUUCGAGCACUCCGCUGCAGGCGGCCCAGUGUUUCGUCGGUUCGAAUCCUGGGCGCGGACAUGGCACUGCUCAUCAGACCACGCUGAGGCAGCGUCCCACAUGCCACAACUAGAAGAACCCACAACGAAGAAUACACAACUAUGUACCGGGGGGCUUUGGGGAGAAAAAGGAAAAAAUAAAAUCUUAAAAAAAAAAAAAAAAAAAGGAGCAGCUAAGACAGAUAAGAUUCAGUAUAAUCAAAAAAUAUAUCAAAGGAAGUUGGUUAUUACUAGAUAUGGCAUUGGGACUCAGUAUGUCCAAACAUGAUUUCAUUACCUUUGGUGAGAUAUGCACCAGAAGGAGUCACCUGAGGUAUUUCUAGGAAAGGACAAGCUUAUGGCUAACCAGUUGACUUGCUCUCUGCUCUAAGUUUAAUUUUGAACUACAAUACAUAGUGCAAGGCCUCAUACAUCCAGUGUGACUCCCCAGUUUAGACUAAAACUCGACUGUGUCCAAGCUAAUACCUCUUUCUGGAGAAUGUAAGACUGUCCAGCGAUCUCCUACCAUUUCACCGUUUGGAGGGAGGGAGGGAAAGGCAUGAAAACAAAUGUUAACAUAGUAAUUGUUUAUUGUCAUGGGUCCAAGGUUAUAUGCACAUUCAGAAAGCUAUUUGACACCCCUGUUUACUGCUAAGGUGAUUAGUUAUUAACUUCAUUGUUAUUUAUUAAUGUAAUACCUGCUCAAUUGUCUGAGAAACAUCAUAUAGGAUGUUCACUUACAUGCCUGAGCCCAUUCUGCUUUUUCAGUAACCUAAGUAGAGACCCAAAGGUUAUGUAUGACCCAUUGUAGUUUGAGAUAACCCCAAAUUUUGAGAAUAAAUCUUGGUACAGUCGAGUUCA
rnacentral:lncRNA from 1 species